GCCUACGGCCACACUGGACUGAACGUGCCCGAUCCUGUCCGAUCUCAGAAGCUAAGUGGUCCCAGGCCCAGCUAGUACUUGGAUGGGAGACCACCUGGGAAUCCCAGGUAUUAGGUU
rnacentral:rRNA from 1 species